AGCACAAAUGAUGAUUAUAAGGGACUUAAUACUGAAAUAUGAUGUUAGUUUUGAGCAAAACUGAUGUGC
rnacentral:snoRNA from 1 species